AAACCAAGGCCUGGAGACAUGAAGUACUUUUCCAGUUCACACGGACAGCAAGUCACCGACACGUCUUUGCAUUUAGGCCUCAUCCACUCUGUACCUAAGUGCUUGAAGACACCUGCUCUGCCACAUCUGCUCUCCUAGCCAUAUGUCCACCAGGUUGACCAAACCAAAGUCUACAGCAUGGAGCAAUCACUAAAGAUGUGCUGAACUACUAAAUGGGAAGAAGAAAAUAAGGCAGCACUUCUGGGGAAAUGGCAAUCAAAUGGAAUUACUGGAUAGAAGAGUUUGAAACAGCAUUAAUUCUAUUAUGUGCAAAGAUGAGGAAGCUGGGAUUCAAGGAUUAGUCAUCAGAAGUAGACCACACAGCAAGAAGGCAGCAA